rnacentral:lncRNA from 1 species
GCUGGUGGAUUUCUACCCAAAGGGGAAAUAAUGAGUGGAUGUGGUUGGCGUCUGCGUAGCACCUUAUAGUUACAAAGGUAUUAGCAUCUCAGUUGCUUCUUAUUGGGGGAGGGGAGGAAUGUCACCCCUGACUGUGGCUGGAGAUAAGCAACUAAACUCCAAUUGAAUUAAUCCAUAAGGGCUGAGACUUCAGCAAAUGUGGGAUUCUGAGUGUGUCUAAUAGCUAAAAAGCAAGCUCCCCCAAAUCUAGAUGCGGCUUGCACACACAAUGGCUGCUGCCAUUCAGGGUGAGCUGUUACAGGUGCUGCCAAAGUGAAGGGCUUUCUUCCUUCCUUGUCCCUGGAUCUCCCCUCCCUCCAUUUCACUGGCAAGGCACUGCAGCAUCCACCCCAUUUUUCUACCUCUUCCUUAUCUGCUGUUUGGAUAAUAGCCUGCUACAGACUGUAAAACCUGAGAUUCUCCCCCGAGAGGAAUGA